ACUACGAGUUUGAUCAUGGCUCAGGAUGAACGUUAGCGGGAGGCUUAAUACAUGCAAGUCGAGCGGUAAGUUUUUAUAGCAAUAUGAAGACCUAGAGCGGCGCACGGGUGAGUAACGCGUACACGACCUGGCCUAAACUGGGGGAUAGCCUUGGGAAACUGAGAGUAAUCCCGCAUGUGAUUAUGUUACUGAUGGUGAUAUAAUUAAAGCUUCGGCGGUUUAGGAUGGAUGUGCGUCUGAUUAGCUAGUUGGUGAGGUAACUGCUCACCAAGGCGACGAUCAGUAGGGGGCGUGAGAGCGUGGCCCCCCACACGGGUACUGAGACACGGACCCGACUCCUACGGGAGGCAGCAGUAAGGAAUAUUGGUCAAUGGAGGGAACUCUGAACCAGCCAUGCCGCGUGAAGGAUGACGGCCCUCUGGGUUGUAAACUUCUUUUGGAUGGGGCGAAAAAACGGGAUUUAUCCUGGACUGACGGUACCAUCAGAAUAAGCACCGGCUAACUCCGUG
rnacentral:rRNA from 1 species